AACUACCUAUCACCAUGUGCCCAAGGAGCCCUGCUCCCCUGGGCUGUGGUCAGAACAUGCCGGCACCCACAGUGUCCUGGUGACAUCGGAGGAAGCAAGCAGUGGACCCUAGGAUAGCCAGGUCACCUACAACGGGACACCAAGGGGAAUGAGACCUUUCAAAAAGCCCAGUGACUUGGAGUUCCCAUGGUGGCUCAGCAGGUUAAGAACCCAACUAGUAUCCAUGAGGAUGCAGGUUGGAUCCCUGACCCUGCUCAGUGGGUUAAAGAUCUGGUAUUGCCACAGGCUGUGGAUGGGGCUCAGAUCCCAAGCUGUGCCUGUGGUGUAGGCCAGCAGCUGCAGCUCUGAUUCAACCCCCAGCCUGAGAAAUUCUAUAUGCUGAAAAAAAAAAAAAAAAAAAAAAAAGCCCAGUAACUAUGUCAGAGUGUCCUGCUGGCUUGGGUUUCAUCUUCUCAAUUUUCUCCUGCCACCCAUCCCAUCUUUGGCAUCCACACAUACAGUCCCACAGAAACUCCCCCCUUAAGAGGCAUCUAAGAAACUCUGAUCCCGGGAAUUUCUAUUGUGGCUCAGUGGUAACGAACCCGACUAGUAUCCCUGAGGACAUGGAUUCAAUCCCUGGCUUCGUUCAGUGGGUUAAGUAUCCAGUUGCCAUGAGCUGUGGUGUCACAGGUCACAGAUGUGGCUCAGAUCUGGCGUUGCUAUGGCUGUGGGGUGGGCCCCUAUUCGACCCCUAGCCUGGGAACUUCCAUAUGCUGCGGGUACAGCCCUGAAAAGGCAAAAAAAGAAAAAGAAAGCAAUGCUGAUCCCAUGGCUUAACAUUUUAGACACCUGCCUAGAAGUCACCCAGAAACAGGGAGACCCACACCGAUCUCACUGCCCUGAACGCCAGUGUUUUCUCUUAGUAUCAAAGAAUUUGUUCAAGCAACAAAGCGCUUGGGCUUCAGGCCCCUCCCUGAAAAGCAGAGUUACUGUACAUUCUGUGUCAAAUAACCACAUCAAAAGCUCCGGCCACACCUCCUGCCAGCUGAUGUUAGAUCCUAGCACAGACCUGCGGGAACAGGUACACAAAGUAGAAGGAAGCAUUAGGGGAGGGAAAACAAACUGCAAUUAAAGACAUUUGGAAGCACCAGUUUCAUUUGUCCAGCAACUCCGAGAAAAGGCUCGCUCUUUGGGUUUUGAUGGUGAAAAGGCUCAGGGUGGUUGGCCGACCUGCUAAGGGCAGGGCUGCCGGAUUUAGCAAAUAAAAAUACAUGCAACAGUUAGGACAUAUACUUUUUUUAAAGGUUUUCACUGGGUAUCUGCAAUUCCAGUUUAACCAGGCGCCCUGCAUUUUCCCUGGUAAUCCUCGGUAACGAAGCCUCACUGGUUGAGAACCUUGGCCAAACAAGUCACAAAUGUCCCUUCCAUCCUCCCCCUGUGACCAGUGACCCCAGGGGGCUGCUCUCAGAAACAGCUUCCCUUAGAAAAUUGUGACUUUCUGUCCUUCGUAGCCCCAUCUCAGGGGCGGCUGCUUUUGCCCUCACAGGCCGGGCAAGCAGGACUCAGAAGAACAGUGCUAAGUGGUCCUUUCUGUCUCCUGGCCACCUCGGUGACAUUCCACCCUGAUGGCAACUGCCAUGGUGACUCAGAUCUUCCUGAGCAAGAUUUGGCAAGUCCCUCUCCGCUCCAUUGCUUGCUCCCCUGACCCGUGCCCCAAACUUCCGCCUGCCUGCUGCUGUCGCCAGGUGUCCCCAGACUCAGCACAGUCUGAGCACAGACUAAGUGACCACGGGGGGCUCCCCGGCUCCCUGGCUGCCCCUUUGCAGGGCCCAGAGCCCACGCUAGGGGACUUAGGACAGCAGGCAAUGUGACCACAUCCUUUGGCUCCUCCAAAGACUCUAGGGCGCUGCCAGGCUGCUGGGCAUCCAGCCUCUCAACAUGCUGCUCUGUGGAUGGGCCUCGCUUGACCCCUUCACCAGUACCUCUCAUCUCCCCCAGAACACAAAGGCACUUUCUCUCCUGCUGGGAUAUGGUUUUGGCAAUGAUCCAGGGCUCCAGGAUGCUGUCCCAAAUUUCUCUGGCCAGUGGAGAGACCCAGGGAGUCACCCUGACCCCAAUCCCAAGCCGUACCUCUCCAGUUCUCCCGAAACAAGCUCUCUCUUCCGCAUCCUAGAGCCACUUCCAUCUCACCUACAGGCCAGCAGCCCUGGCUGACCCCUCCUGUCUGGAAGAGUCCAGGGCAUCCUGUUCAGAUCCACUCAGAACCUAAGUUCCCCCACCCACCCAGCCAGCUUUGUUGGAGAAUUCCAGCACUGUCACUGUUCUCCCUGCUGUACUUGGAGAACCGGUGGUUUGUGGGAGACGCACGGCCAGAGCCACUGGGAGAAGAAGCUGGUACCUUGGUCUCCCGCUUCCCUUGAUUCAGGUACCACUUAAGUGAACCACAAAGCCAAUUCCCCAAACACCUUGUUUGAUUGGAUUCCAUCGUCUGCGUUUACAGGGGCCAGUGGGCCGUCGACCACACCAUCUUCCUGCUAACGACCACGUCUGCAGAUGAGACUGUGGGCUCCAGGCAGAGGAGUUCCCGUCAUGGCGCAGUGGUUAACGAAUCCGACUAGGAACCAUGAGGUUGCGGGUUCGGUCCCUGCCCUUGCUCAGUGGGUUAACGAUCUGGCGUUGCCGUGAGCUGUGGUGUAGGUUGCAGACGCGGCUCGGAUCCCGUGUUGCUGUGGCUAUGGCGUAGGCCGGUGGCUAGAGCUCCGAUUCUACCCCUAGCCUGGGAACCUCCAAAUGCC
rnacentral:lncRNA from 1 species